UGCAGCCAGGAUACCACAAUAUACGGGUGGCUGCCCCAACUCUUUAUCUGUCCAUGUCUCGUUCUUGUGACAACAGCUAAUGUGUAAAAAUAAUAUAAGGAGGAGCCUAGAAAAUUUUAAACAUAAAGAACAGAUUAGGGUCCUUAAGUACAGCUGGCAUUUAUACUUUAAUUUGUUUAGAGGUUUGUUCCAUCCAUCCAUAAUCCAACCCGCUAUAUCCUAACUGCAGGGUCACGGGGGUCUGCUGGAGCCAAUCCCAGCCAGCACAGGGCGCAAGGCAGGAAACAAACCUCAGGCAGGGCGCCAGCUUACCACAAUUUAGAUGUUUGUUUAAGAUCAAAUAGUAAUGUUUUAAAUUUGCAUCUAAUUACAUAAUUAUAAUGAAUUACAAAGACAAAUAACAUUAGUAACUGAGAAUGUGGACAACUAAAAUCCCUUUAUUCUCUUAUAUUCUUGCAUAUAGUUUCAUUAAAGUGGAGGUACAUGGUGAACUACUGUCUCAAGAGUGCAAGCGGGGCAUGUGUGUGAGUAGACCCUGCAAUGAACUGGCAUCCUUUCCUGGUCUUUUCUGGUGAUUAUUUUAAUUUUCAAUACGGAGUUGCUCCACCGGAAUUACAUAUGUGUUUGUUCAUUUAUUUUUACCUUGGAUGGAUCUAACACCACCACUGGACUUUUUAUUGCUGCUGGAGAAACAUUUGCCUCAAUCUUAAAUGUAGGAGUGUGCAAAAAUGGGAUGUUGGACUGUUUUUUUAAUAUGCAACUACAAGAAAAUUACUGGAAAGUGACAAGUGUCACGGUGGUUUAUUAUGGUGGUAGUGGCUGGUCACAGUGGUAUACCGUGUUACUAAAACCUCCUAAACAAAGUGUGCUUCUCUACUGUUGAAGUAUGGGGUUUAAUUUAAAUAACUGAAGAAGAUGCCAAUUUGUAUCAUAAAAUGUACUCUGUGAUUUUCUAUGAAUUAUUUUUUAAUAAAAUAUUCUUUUUUAAUUUGUUUUUAAAAACAUUUCUUAUGGUUUCCUCUUUUGUUAGCUGAUCUGUAUUGCAACAGUUGGUAUGUUAUACUUUUUAAGAAUUUGACACAAACCAACUCCUUUUUUCAUGAAAAAGUAGCACAUUUCAUUUGAAAAAUAUUCCAAGCUCUAUAGACAACUUGAUGGCAACAGUGGAUUUUCUGUAUGUUCUAUUAAGGAAACUCUUGUGUAUCGUAUUGUUUAUUAUAUAGAGAUGAUUUCUGUAUCUGUGGGUAAAAAAAAUUGAGAAAAUUAGAAUGAUCUAUCUAUC